rnacentral:miRNA from 1 species
AACAUCCUCAUCGAUUGGAAGGAAUUCCUUCCAAUUGAUGAGGUUGUUACCCUCAUUGAUUUCCAAUCAAUGAGGUUGAUAACAACCUCAUCGAUUGGAAGGAAUUCCUUCCGAUUGAUGAGGUUGUU